rnacentral:tRNA from 1 species
GUGGGGUAGUGUCCCGCAAGUCUUA